UGCAUCUGAUAGGUCUCUGUGUGAUAAAUAUUUUGAAUUGCCUUCUAGGUAAGAGCCUAAUCCUGCUUAGGGAAACAACUUGGAAAGUGGUUUUUUUUUUUUUUUGAUUUUUAAACUUUUUUUUAAAAAGUUUUUUAACGUGUGAACUCAUCCAUUAGACUUUACGCUCAAAACACAGGAGCUUGAAGGGGAAAACAAAAAUCAACUCUAAAAUGUUGAAUAGAGAUAUCUUUUUUGUUAUUAAUCUCAGUGUUUAUGAGGAAAGAACCCGUCUCUAAGACUUGAUCCCGUCUCCUUUAUUUGAUGGAUUGUUAAAUCUAUUGAUGAGUGAGUAGUUCAUCCAGCAUCCCCAGCAGCAAGGUCAGUGGAGUGAUUCCUCAAGCCGGCAGGGGAGGAUGGGGUCCUGGUAGAGGAGCCUCCUCCCUGCAGGAGCAUUUUGAGUAUGCAGAACACAGUGGCUCAGCCUGGAGCUGGCAGUUAGUGCUCUCACACACACACACACACACACACACACACACACGCAGCAGCGCUUUCCCCUCAAGUGAGGCGGCGUUAGUAACUGCAGUCCCGGCAUCCUAGGCUGGGGACCAGCGGCUACUGGCUGGUUUGUUAGAGGACCCUGGAGCCCAGUUUCCGAGGGACCCGGUGACACGCCGCUGUCACAACUAGUGACAGCUAUUUCUUCCCUGCUGCUUCCCCAGCUCCUGGCAAGAGGACACCCUCUUCCAAAAGCCAGGCAGCCCGGGGAGGAGGCUGCUCCCUGCAGAAGCGAUGCCCAAUUCAACAAGCAACGUAAGAGAUCCAAAGAUGGGAUCUUAACCAGGCCUUCUGAGAAGGUGAAAGGUAAUUUAAAUCAGUUGUUGAGAUAUCUUUUUUCAUUCUUGGUUUCCCCCAGCCCACCUCCUUUCUCACAUAGCCUUGUGAGGCAGGUAAAGAGUUAGCCAGUUGCUUGCACAUUAUGGAUCACCAUUCAGAGCUGUCUCUGCUGAGAGGGAAUCAAUUUCAUUUUAUUUGGAGCCAGAGGUGAUGAUCCUCUGUCACUGCUGGCUCCUCGUCACGAAGCUUCUUAAUUUUAAAACACUUUUUUCCUCCUCUGUAUCUGAUAGCCUUUCCUGGGUAGCCUGGUGAAUCAGUGUCUUGGGAGAUUUUCAAAAAUAAAGGCCAGAUGAACACUAUAGAUUAAUUCA
rnacentral:lncRNA from 1 species